AACGAACGCUGGCGGCAUGCCUAACACAUGCAAGUCGAACGAGACCUUCAGGUCUAGUGGCGCACGGGUGCGUAACGCGUGGGAAUCUGCCCUUGGGUUCGGGAUAACAGUUGGAAACGACUGCUAAUACCGGAUGAUGUCUUCGGACCAAAGAUUUAUCGCCCAAGGAUGAGCCCGCGUAGGAUUAGCUUGUUGGUGAGGUAAGAGCUCACCAAGGCGACGAUCCUUAGCUGGUCUGAGAGGAUGAUCAGCCACACUGGGACUGAGACACGGCCCAGACUCCUACGGGAGGCAGCAGUGGGGAAUAUUGGACAAUGGGCGAAAGCCUGAUCCAGCAAUGCCGCGUGAGUGAUGAAGGCCUUAGGGUUGUAAAGCUCUUUUACCCGGGAUGAUAAUGACAGUACCGGGGGAAUAAGCCCCGGCUAACUCCGUGCCAGCCGCCGCGGUAA
rnacentral:rRNA from 1 species